GAGUGGUAGCGAUUUUAUUGGGCCUAAAGCGUCCGUAGCCGGACCGACGGGUCCCUUGCGAAAUCGGACGGCUUAACCGUUCGGCUUGCNAGGGAAACUGUUGGUCUUGAGGCUGGUAGGCGCCGAGGGUACUCCGGGGGUAGCAGUGAAAUGCUAUAAUCCUUGGGGGACCGCCAGUGGCGAAAGCGCUCGGCGAGGCCAGACCUGACGGUGAGGGACGAAGGCCAGGGUAGCGAACCGGAUUAGAUACCCGGGUAGUCCUGGCUGCAAAGGAUGUGAGUUAGGUGCUAGGCGCUCCUCGAGAGCGUCCGGUGCCGAAGGGAAGCCAUUAAGCCCACCGCCUGGGAAGUACGGCCGCAAGGCUGAAACUUAAAGAAAUUGGCGGGGGAGCACCACAAGGGGUGGAGCUUGCGGUUUAAUUGGAUUCAACGCCGGACAUCUCACCGGGGGCGACGGCAGAAUGAAGGCCAAGCUGACGACUUUGCCGGAUUCGCCGAGAGGUGGUGCAUGGCCGCCGCCAGCUCGUGUUGUGAAACGUCCUGUCAAGUCAGGCAACGAGCAAGACCCUCACUCUUAGUUGCCAUCGGAUCUUUUGGAUGCCGGGCACUCUAAGAGGACCGCUUGCGAUAAGCCAGAGGAAGGAGAGGGCGACGGUAGGUCCGUAUGCCCCGAAUCCCCCGGGCAACACGCGGGCUACAAUGCGCAGGACAGAGGGUUGCAACCCCGAAAGGGGAAGCCGAUCCCUAAACCUGCGCUUAGUUCGGAUCGAGGGCUGUAACCCGCCCUCGUGAAGCUGGAAUCCCUAGUAACUGCGUGUCAUUAUCGCGCGGUG
rnacentral:rRNA from 1 species